CAGCACCUCAAGUGGUCAGGAUGAUUAUUGGGCCUAAAGCGUCCGUAGCCGGCGCUGUAAGUUUUCGGUUAAAUCUGUACGCUCAACGCACAGGCUGCCGGGAAUACUGCAGCGCUAGGGAGUGGGAGAGGUAGACGGUACUCGGUAGGAAGGGGUAAAAUCCUUUGAUCUAUUGAUGACCACCUGUGGCGAAGGCGGUCUACCAGAACACGUCCGACGGUGAGGGAUGAAAGCUGGGGGAGCAAACCGGAUUAGAUACCCGAGUAGUCC
rnacentral:rRNA from 1 species